rnacentral:rRNA from 1 species
UAGGAUUCCUUUAGUAGCGGCGAGCGAACAAGGAUAAGCCCAGCACUGAAUCACGUGUUCGAAACCGGACGCUGUGAAAUGUGGUGUUAGGGAGGAUCCGUUAUCCUGAUGUUGUAUGGUGUGUCCAAGUCCUUCUUGAACGGGGCCACAGCCCAUAGAGGGUGCCAGGCCCGUAGUGACCACUAUCAAUGUCAGGAGGAUCUCUCCUCAGAGUCGGGUUGCUUGAGAGUGCAGCCCUAAGUGGGUGGUAAACUCCAUCUAAGGCUAAAUAUGACCACGAGACCGAUAGCAAACAAGUACCGUGAGGGAAAGUUGAAAAGAACUUUGAAGAGAGAGUUCAAUAGUACGUGAAACCGUUCAGGGGUAAACCUGAGAAACCCGAAAAUUCGAACGGGGAGAUUCAGCGUAUGUCGGUUGCUGUUCCAGGCUUUGAGUCUGACAAAUGGCGCUUGCGUUGUUUGCAAACUUGGUUUGUUGAAUUGUAAUUGAAUGCGUGCACUUUUCCCUUAGUAGGACGUUGUAAUCCGUUGGGUGUCGGUCUAAGAGACAUUGUGGAGCUCACUUUGACAGUUUACUGUUCAUUGUGAACCAUUGUUUUUUUUCCGGCUGACUCGCUUGACGGUAUUAAAAUGGUGAAAGGCUGCUUCUAUAUAAGCAUCUGGCUUGUGGCAAGCAUGUGCGUUGUGUCAUUUAUCGGAUUUAAUGCCGGUGUUGGCCGCGUGCCGCUGUUCGCUAUAAAGUCCUCAGAUUGUCCUUAUACACCAAUUAACGACGCUAUAGUUUUGGGUACUUUCAGGGCCCGUCUUGAAACACGGACCAAGGAGUCUAGCAUGUGCGCGAGUCAUUGGGAUAUAAUUAAACCUAAAGGCGAAAUGAAAGUAAAAGUUUGUUUUACACAGACUUAGGGAGGAUGAAUGGUUGUUUUUUCAACUGUUCCGCACUCCCAGGGCGUCUCAUACUCAUUGCGAGUGGAGGCGUACCAAGAGCGUACACGCUGGGACCCGAAAGAUGGUGAACUAUGCCUGGUCAGGACGAAGUCAGGGGAAACCCUGAUGGAGGUCCGUAGCGAUUCUGACGUGCAAAUCGAUCGUCGGAACUGGGUAUAGGGGCGAAAGACUAAUCGAACCAUCUAGUAGCUGGUUCCCUCCGAAGUUUCCCUCAGGAUAGCUGGCGCUUAUAGCGUACGAGUUUCAUCUGGUAAAGCGAAUGAUUAGAGGCAUUGGGGUCGAAACGGCCUCAACCUAUUCUCAAACUUUAAAUGGGUGAGAUCUUUGGCUUGCUUGAACUUUUGAAGCCAUAAGACUCGAAUCAAAG